GGGGGACCUUGGGCCUCAUGCCAUCAGAUGUGCCCAGAUGGGAUUAGCUAGUAGGUGGGGUAACGGCUCACCUAGGCGACGAUCCCUAGCUGGUCUGAGAGGAUGACCAGCCACACUGGAAUUGAGACACGGUCCAGACUCCUACGGGAGGCAGCAGUGGGGAAUAUGCACAAUGGGCGCAAACCUGAUGCAGCCAUGCCGCGUGUGUGAAGAAGGCCUUCGGG
rnacentral:rRNA from 1 species